AGAGUUUGAUCAUGGCUCUUGAUGAACGCUGGCGGCGUGCCUAACACAUGCAAGUCGAGCGAGAAUGUUAUGAUGGAUACUUCGGUUGAAAGAUUAACAGGAAAGCGGCGGACGGGUGAGUAACGCGUGGGUAACCUGCCCCAUACACAGGGAUAGCCAUUGGAAACGAUGAUUAAUACCUGAUAAUACUAAAUGAUCGCAUGAUCGUUUGGUCAAAGAUUUAUCGGUAUGGGAUGGACCCGCGUCUGAUUAGCUAGUUGGUAAGGUAACGGCUUACCAAGGCGACGAUCAGUAGCCGACCUGAGAGGGUGAUCGGCCACACUGGAACUGAGACACGGUCCAGACUCCUACGGGAGGCAGCAGUGGGGAAUAUUGCACAAUGGGCGCAAGCCUGAUGCAGCAACGCCGCGUGAACGAAGAAGGCUUUCGGGUCGUAAAGUUCUUUUCUUAGGGAAGAAAAAUGACGGUACCUAAGGAAUAAGCACCGGCUAAAUACGUGCCAGCAGCCGCGGUAAUACGUAUGGUGCAAGCGUUAUCCGGAAUCACUGGGCGUAAAGGGUGCGUAGGCGGUUAUGCAAGUCAGAAGUGAAAGGCUAUGGCUCAACCAUAGUAAGCUUUUGAAACUGUAUAACUAGAGUGCAGGAGAGGAAAGUGGAAUUCCUAGUGUAGAGGUGAAAUUCGUAGAUAUUAGGAGGAACACC
rnacentral:rRNA from 1 species